rnacentral:lncRNA from 1 species
UACAACUGAUAGGGCCUGGAUAGUCUAACAGUGGCUUUCUACAUACUUCCAAGACUCAGCUAUCCCAAUCCAGUGUUAAUCACCUGAAGAAUUUCCUCAAGAGUUGCUGGUGUCCAGUCCAUUUUGGAACCCAGAGAAGCUUGAGUUUGGUAUCAGUGAAGGAUACUGCAGGAGCAGCUACAAAUCGGAUGCACUCACCAUCAAGGAGCAAAGGUAGACAGGCAAAGGCAGGCAGGCAACCAGCACUGCUCUCUACUUUAGUCUCUUCAAAUCUGGGCCACAGAAGAUGGUUCCACCCAUCUUUGGGGCUGAGUCUCCCCCGAUCAGUUAGUCCUCCCUACAGAUGCACUCACAGAUUUGCCCAGGGUCUUAUUUCUUGGUUGAUUCCAAAGCCAAUCUACCUGACACUCCAGAUUAACCAACAAUGCAAAGCACUGCAGAACGAGCACUGUUUACCCUUGGAUCAAGAGGCCAACUGGGAGCUGUGAUUGGUGGCCACUGCCCAGGAUCACAAUCAAGUACAAGACUAUAUACUACUGCUGUGGAAAAGAGCCAUCUUUAAAGCCAUGCACACAUGUGCACACUCCAUGUGCAACAAGUACAUAUUCCAUGUGCACACAUGUGCAUACUCCAUGUGUGCACAUGUCCACACUCCAUGUGCAUACUCCAUGUGCAUACUCCAUAUGCAUACUCCAUGUGCAACAAAUGCAUACCCCAUGUCCACACAUGUGCAUACUCCAUGUGCAUGCUCCAUAUGCAUACUCCAUGUACAACAUAUGUAUACUCCAUGUGUACACAUGUGCAUACUCCAUAUGCAUACUCCAUGUGCAACAAAUGCAUACUCC